rnacentral:rRNA from 1 species
AGAGCGAACGCUGGCGGCAGGCCUAAUACAUGCAAGUCGAACGAACUCUUCGGAGUUAGUGGCGCACGGGUGCGUAACGCGUGGGAAUCUGCCCCUUGGUUCGGAAUAACAGUUGGAAACGACUGCUAAUACCGGAUGAUGACGAAAGUCCAAAGAUUUAUCGCCAAGGGAUGAGCCCGCGUAGGAUUAGCUAGUUGGUGAGGUAAAGGCUCACCAAGGCAACGAUCCUUAGCUGGUCUGAGAGGAUGAUCAGCCACACUAGGGACUGAGACACGGCCCAGACUCCUACGGGAGGCAGCAGGUAGGGAAUAUUAGACGAAGUGGGACGAAAGCCUAGAUCCGAGCAAUUGACCGCGUGACGGUAGAGUAGAAGGCCGUUAGGUAGUAAAG